GGAAAGCACAUGAUGCAACUUGCACCAUGGGAAACCAAUCUAUCACCAUCUCGUAUCGAUUUAUACUUUUAUCAAAACUUGUAUUCUUGAGGCAGUAGUUUUCAACAGCAUGUAUCGCAAAUUAUAUUGUAAAACUAUCCAGAAUUAUAGAGAAAUCCCGUUAGACAUCGCGAAAAACAUUUCCCCGCACAUCUGGACAACACCACCAUACAGUAUUUAUCUUAAUAAUGACAAUCACACCUCAUCCAAAUAUAUAAAUCAAAUAAAUUGUAAGGAAGCUAAAAUCAAGCCAUCUUGCCAUGAAAUACCCAAACUCACAGCCUGUUGACUGUCAAAAAUGAAUUAUAUUUCAAUAAUAUACUAUUGUGAUGGGCAUUGUGCUUAUUUGAAAAAAAAUCAAAUUAAUUUUUCUCCAUAAAAUUAAUUGUGAACAUGAACACAAUAAAAAAAACGACAAGUAUUUAAAUUCUACAAUACAGCCUCAAUAAUACAUGAUUUUUUAAUUAUUAGGUAGAUGUAAAUAAACCACACAAUGAACAUUUGUAACUUUGGCAAAGUUAUUAUAACAAGGGCAACCAAAGACCUUUCCUCAAUAAAUGUCUGGAAGGAGAAAAAAGAAAACAAAAAGAAACCAAUCUACUCAAGCCAUAUCAAUCUCCAAGACAGAUUUAAAAAAUAUGAAAUAUUCAUGGACCAAUAUCCAAAAUGACUAUGAACUUCAAGGAUUUUAUUUUGAGACAUAAAAGGCUUCAGGGGUACAUCACGGACAAAAAGUAUUGGAACAACAACAACAAAGAAGGAC
rnacentral:lncRNA from 1 species